ACAAGUGACCCUCCCACCUCUGCCUCCCAAAACACUGGGAUUAUAGAUGAUAUCCAGCUAUUUUGCCCCCUUCCAGCAGCACCAAUAUCUUUUGCUUACUAAAGGAGUUUCCUAGAUUCCAAGGUCAUGUCCUGGUACUCACUUUAGGCACUUAUGGAACAGUAAACUGAACCUUUUCCUUAGGAAGCCCAAAAGGAUUCUGAAUAAUUAUCUUUGGCUCUAGUACCACAAGCAAACGUUCAGAGAUAUAUUACAUCCUAAGAGACAGGGAGGAUCUGGUUUUACAACGCUCCCAAGCACACUGGGCUUUCUGAAACCCAAUGAAUCCAAGACAGAUGUCCUCAGAGACUUAUGAAAGCAAAGGUGAGCACAGGCUUUCAUCUUUUCCACAUAGUUUUCUGUUGGGUCUUUGUGAAUCUGGAAUUCACAUUGUUAAAAGUGCAUUGAUUCUUCUCUCCAUCAUGACUGUCUGGCUGUGCUUUCUUCCCUC